GCUCCUGCAUAUGCGCCGUUGCGGGGGUGGGUUAAGGGAAGCUGAUAUUGUGUUGGUGUGGAGGGUCGCUGUGUCCAGGAAGAGGAUAUGAGAAGAGCAGCUUUGCAGGUAGAGCUCCCCAACGGAGUACCAUGUGAAGGUCUGACAGAGCCCCUUGAUUCGUGGGACAGGAGAGACGUCCCUCUUUCAGUCCAGAAGGGGAAAAUUCUUUGAACGUUUUUGUCUGCUUCAGUAGGCUCUUAAAGUAUCAUCUUUACCUGAACCACAGGGGCACGUGCCUGAGCCAGUUUGCCCACUGUGGGGAAAGGAAGUCUCAGGAGGCAUUCCGCGUGCCAUGGAGAAACUGUGGAAGUGUGGGGAUUGCGGGAAAGGAUUCAGAUCCCCCUCCGUGCUGGAGAUCCACCGCUGUGUCCACACCGGGGAGCGGCCCUUCACCUGCUCCGUCUGCGGCAAGGGCUUCACCCAGUCGUCCCACCUGCUGUCCCACCAGCGGGUCCACACCGGGGAGAGGCCAUACGCCUGCUCCGAGUGCGGGAAGGACUUCAGCGACUCGUCCACCCUGCUGCGGCACCAGCGGGUCCACACCGGGGAGCGGCCCUUCACCUGCUCCGUCUGCAGCAAAGGCUUCACCCAGUCGUCCCACUUGCUGUCCCACCAGCGGGUCCACACCGGGGAGAGGCCGUACGCCUGCUCCGAGUGCGGGAAGAACUUCAGCGACUCGUCCACUCUGCUGCGGCACCAGCGGGUCCACACCGGGGAGCGGCCCUUCACCUGCUCCGAGUGCGGGAAGGACUUCAGCGACUUGUCCACCCUGCUGCGGCACCGGCGGGUCCACACCGGGGAGCGGCCCUUCACCUGCUCCGUCUGCGGCAAGGGCUUCACCCAGUCAUCCCACCUGUUCUUACACCAGCGGGUCCACACCAGGGAGAGGCCGUUCAGCUGCUCGGUCUGCGGCAAGAGCUUUACCCACUCGUCCAACCUGCUGACCCACCGCCGGGUCCACACCGGGGAACGGCCCUUCACCUGCUCCGUCUGCGGCAAGGGCUUCACCCACUCGUCCACCCUGCUGUCCCACCAGCGGGUCCACACCAAGGAGAGGCCGUUCAGCUGCUCUGUCUGCGGCAAGAGCUUCACCCACUCGUCCACCCUGCUGACCCACCAGCGGGUCCACACUGGGGAGAGGCCCUUCAGCUGCUCGGUCUGCGGCAAGGGCUUCACCCGGUCGUCCACCCUGCUGCAGCACCAGCGGGUCCAUACCAGGGAGCGGCCGUUCACCUGACCCGUCUGCGGGAGGGGCUUCGCUCAGUCCCAGCACCUGCUGCAGCACCAGCGGGGGCACAAGUGACGGGGCCAGCCGCUGUGGAUCCAAGAUUUCACUCUCUGUCCCAUUGAGUCUCCAGUCAGGUCCUUCAGCUCAACUGGUCUCUCUCAGUAUUUCUGACCCAUGUGAGCCUCUACGCACCUCCCCUUCACUUGCUCACACUUGAUUUCCCUUACAGCAGCAUUCCCUUCAGUUCCUUUCUCCCUGACGUCUGUAUCCAGCUUCUCCUUAAAUGCCGUCCACCUCGACCUGCUACUGUGCGGGUCAGUCCCGCUGCAGACAGAGGUCUCUCCUUUGUAACCUCUUCAAAAGAUUUACCACUGACUUCCCCCUUCAGUCUUUUCUAUUUCUGGGUCUCCCCGCUGUUGCGAAACUUGGAAGGGUUCAGAAAAGAUUUACAAGGAUGUUGCCAGGGUUGGAGGAUCUGAGCUACAGGGAGAGGCUGAACAGGCUGGGGCUGUUUUCCCUGGAGCGUCGGAGGCUGAGGGAUGACCUUACAGAGGUUUACAAAAUUGAGGGGCAUGGAUAGGAUAAAUAGGCAAAGUCUUUUCCCUGGGGUUGGGGAAUCCAGAACUAGAGGGCAUAGGUUUAGGGUGAGAGGGGAAGAUAUAAAAGAGACCUACAGGGCAACUUUUUCAUGCAGAAGGUGGUGUGUGUAUGGAAUGAGCUGCCAGAGGAUGUGGUGGAGGCUGGUACAAUUGCAACAUUCAAGAGGCAUUUGGAUGGGUAUAUGAAUAGGAAGGGUUUGGAGGGAUAUGGGCCGGGUGCUGGCAGGUGGGAUUAGUUUGGGUUGGGAUAUUUGGUCGGUAUGGACGGGUUAGACCGAAGGGUCUGUUUCCGUGCUGUAUAUCUCUUGACAAAGCCUUGUCUGAGGGUGAACUGUCGUUCCCGUUGAUGUGGGUGGUCCCCAGUCUGUUGUCCUUUUCCUUUCCUUUCUCGGAAAGGACGUCGCGGACAUGGGCAGUGUUCCCGAGCCCCGCUCCGGAACGGGCUGUUCCGUCCUCUUCCAGCCCCCGGUGGGGGGGGAAGGGGCAGCUUGAGUGCAUUGGGAGAGUGGGCCGUUCACCGGGAGGGUGCCAACGGGACGGGAGAGCGGUACCGAUAAUGGGGCAAGGGGGAGAUGCCUCAGACCGCCAGAAACACUGGGGCAGCUGCUCGCGUGCUCCUUUUGGAUCUCACAGCACAGGGAGGCCAUUCAUCUGAUUACCUCCCCGUCUCUGUGUCUUUCUGUCUCUCUCUCUCUGCAUCUGCCUCUGCGUCUGUCUGUCUCUCCGAGGUGACAGCGGGUUCCAGCAUAUUGCUGGGUAAACCUGUUUUUCCUCUGUUUUCCCCCUCUCUCUCCUGCUCAAACCCCUGAACUUCAGGCCGCCCCUGACCUUGUCACUAUCAGUGAAUAGGGAACAGCUUUUCUUCCUCCACCUUAUCUGAACCUAUCACAAUCUUCCCCACUUUCACCAGUUGUAUCUGUGUGUGACCCUCUCUUUCUGUGUCUCUUUCUCUCCUAAGCCCCCUCCCUCACCACAUCCCAUUUACCCACCCCCCCCUGUCAUGCUCCCACUUUCAAACGGUCUCGUUGUGUUUUCACUGCCUCUUCCCCAUCGUUUCCGUCAAGCACCUCAUCUCACGCUUAGAACCCCUGCAGUGUAGGAGUAGGCCCUUCAGCCCAUCCAACCCACACCUCACCCAGACCUCUGCCUGUAACCCUGCAAUUCCCAUUGGCUAACCCACCUAGUCUACACAUCCCUGGGCACUAUGGGUAAUUUAGCAUGGUCAAUGCCCCCUAACCUGCACAUCCCCAAACACUAUGUAAUUUAGCAUGGCCAGUCCACCCAAACCUGCACAUCCCUGGAUACUAUAGGACAAUUUAGCCUGGCCAAUCCUACACUAAGGGUGGAUUGGCCAUGCUAAAUUACCCAUAGUACCCAGGGAUGUGUAGGUUAGGGUAGAUUGGCCAUGCUAAAUUACCCAAUCCUACAUAUCCCUGGGUACUGUUAGGAUAAAAUAGGUCAAGGGAGGGUGGAGCUAUAGCUGCUGUUUGGGGAAUCGAAACUGUAGCUGCAGCUGCUGCUUGGGAAAUCGAAACUGUUGCUUAUGUGGCCAGCUCAGCUGCCAACGCCCAAAUGAGCUCAAUAACAGGAAACGCCUAGCAAACGCGAAAUGUCCUAAUAAGGCAAUGCUUAGUAGCUCCGCGAAGCUCUGCUUAGCAAAGAGUAUAGCAGGAGCAGAUUUGGGAGGGGAAGGCAGAACGCGCCUUCUCCAGUGAAUGUAGGGUGAUUCACUGUAUCAGCUACGAUUCUGCAA